AGAGUUUGAUUAUGGCUCAGGACGAACGCUGGCGGCGUGCCUAAUACAUGCAAGUCGAGCGAACAGAGAAGGAGCUUGCUCCUUCGACGUUAGCGGCGGACGGGUGAGUAACACGUGGGCAACCUACCUUAUAGUUUGGGAUAACUCCGGGAAACCGGGGCUAAUACCGAAUAAUCUGUUUCACCUCAUGGUGAAACACUGAAAGACGGUUUCGGCUGUCGCUAUAGGAUGGGCCCGCGGCGCAUUAGCUAGUUGGUGAGGUAACGGCUCACCAAGGCGACGAUGCGUAGCCGACCUGAGAGGGUGAUCGGCCACACUGGGACUGAGACACGGCCCAGACUCCUACGGGAGGCAGCAGUAGGGAAUCUUCCACAAUGGGCGAAAGCCUGAUGGAGCAACGCCCGCGUGAGUGAAGAAGGAUUUCGGUUCGUAAAACUCUGUUGUAAGGGAAGAACAAGUACAGUAGUAACUGGCUGUACCUUGACGGUACCUUAUUAGAAAGCCACGGCUAACUACGUGCCAGCCGCCGC
rnacentral:rRNA from 1 species